ensembl:lncRNA
GCACUAAAAUAUUAUUUAAAUUGACAUCAUUAUUAUAAUAUUUAGGGUCAGACCCUACAGUAUUGAGAUUAAGAAAUCAAAUAUUCUAUAAAAUGUAAAUACACUGAACUCAUUUGGAUAUAUUUAAGUGAGACUCUACAAUAUUAUUUAUGACACAAAUCUAUCUAAAUCAAAAUUUUAAUAAUUUUCACACCAAACAUUUACUGGACUGAUUUAAAUAUUAAAAUCACUCCUUUCUAAUCCUCUGCUGUACGUUCAAACCUGAGGCCUUAAAUAGAAACACACAAGUAUCUGUUUGAAGGAACUUCUGCAGAGUCCUGGUUCCAGAACAUGAUGAUAGAAUUAUAGACAAACUUUAACAAAAGCUGCCUGAGAGUUUACAGGUUUUUAUGUUGGAUUUCUUCAGUAAUUUAAUGAGUUAUCAGCAAUAAUCAAGUGUUCAUUUGAUGAACUUCAUUUCCUAAAACAUCCAGAAUUGGAGCUCAUAUCUUAGGCAGCUGUAAAGUUUCUGCUCCUUCAAAGUUCACAACACAAUGAAUGAAUUCCUAAAACACUCUCAAUGCUGGAGAGCGUUUGUGAUGCUGAAGCAGUGACCAGUUUUUCUGUUUCUUCUCUGGAGAUGCACAAUGAGGGACGUCUGCAGAGACUGAGAAAGAGUCUCACCACAUCCUGACAUGAGGAAAAAGACUUUAUUGAAGACUACAAUGAGAAAAACUAUCAGACAGCAGACGGCUGCAUUCAAGGCUACAGGAGGAGCCCUACGAGGACGAGCCGGUCCACCUGAUGGUGGCCAGUCGCUGCGGUUCAAAGCCAACACCGACUACGUGGACUUCUACUGGACCACACGGAGGCCUUCAAACCAGACCAACGAGUUCACCGACUCCCCGACUCGUGGGUCUGAGGAUGCCGCCGAGCCUCGGUCCAGCCAGCCUCCUGUCUGUGGGUGUUUGAGUGCUGAGAAGUUUGUGGAUGCAUGUGAACGUUCUGUGUUGAAACAGCAGCUUUGGACUCACUAACGCCAGGAAAAACCAAGAGCUCCUUUAUUUGUGACUUCCACUAAAAAACUGAAGAAAAUAAGUUUGUCAGGGUUCUGACUGAUAACAGAUUAUUAAAUAAU